GACGAACGCUGGCGGCGUGCUUAGCACAUGCAAGUCGAACGGAAAGGCCCUUCGGGGUACUCGAGUGGCGAACGGGUGAGUAACACGUGGGUGAUCUGCCCUGCACUUUGGGAUAAGCCUGGGAAACUGGGUCUAAUACCGAAUAGGACCACGCUCUUCAUGGGGUGUGGUGGAAAGCUGUUGCGGUGUGGGAUGGGCCCGCGGCCUAUCAGCUUGUUGGUGGGGGAAUGGCCUACCAAGGCGACGACGGGUAGCCGGCCUGAGAGGGUGACCGGCCACACUGGGACUGAGAUACGGCCCAGACUCCUACGGGAGGCAGCAGUGGGGAAUAUUGCACAAUGGGCGCAAGCCUGAUGCAGCGACGCCGCGUGAGGGAUGACGGCCUUCGGGUUGUAAACCUCUUUCAGUACCGACGAAGCGCAAGUGACGGUAGGUACAGAAGAAGGACCGGCCAACUACGUGCCAGCCGCCGCGGUAACAC
rnacentral:rRNA from 1 species